rnacentral:rRNA from 1 species
UACGUAGGGGGGCAAGCGUUGUCCGGAAUCAUUGGGCGUAAAGCGCGUGUAGGCGGUCCGGUAAGUCCGCUGUGAAAGUCGGGGGCUUAACCCUCGGAUGCCGGUGGAUACUGUCGGGCUUGAGUACGGAAGAGGCGAGUGGAAUUCCUGGUGUAGCGGGUGAAAUGCGCAGAUAUCAGGAGGAACACCAAUUGCGAAGGCAGCUCGCUGGGACGUUACUGACGCUGAGACGCGAAAGCGUGGGGAGCGAACAGG